GAGUUUGAUCUUGGCUCAGAUUGAACGCUGGCGGCAUGCCUUACACAUGCAAGUCGAACGGCAGCAUGAUCUAGCUUGCUAGAUUGAUGGCGAGUGGCGAACGGGUGAGUAAUACAUCGGAACGUGCCCUGUAGUGGGGGAUAACUAGUCGAAAGAUUAGCUAAUACCGCAUACGACCUGAGGGUGAAAGUGGGGGACCGCAAGGCCUCAUGCUAUAGGAGCGGCCGAUGUCUGAUUAGCUAGUUGGUGGGUAAAGGCCCACCAAGGCGACGAUCAGUAGCUGGUCUGAGAGGACGAUCAGCCACACUGGGACUGAGACACGGCCCAGACUCCUACGGGAGGCAGCAGUGGGAAUUUUGGGCAAUGGGCGAAAGCCUGAUCCAGCAAUGCCGCGUGUGUGAAGAAGGCC
rnacentral:rRNA from 1 species